rnacentral:rRNA from 1 species
GUGUCAGCCGCCGCGGUAAGACGAACCGUACGAACGUUAUUCGGAAUCACUGGGCUUAAAGGGUGCGUAGGCGGCGCUGAAAGUUGGGUGUGAAAUCCCUCGGCUUAACCGAGGAACUGCGCCCAAAACUACAGUGCUUGAGGGAGAUAGAGGUGAGCGGAACUUAGGGUGGAGCGGUGAAAUGCGUUGAUAUCCUAAGGAACGCCAGGGGCGAAAGCGGCUCACUGGGUCUCUUCUGACGCUGAGGCACGAAAGCUAGGGUAGCGAACGGGAUUAGAUACCCCGGUAGUCCUAGCCGUAAACGAUGAGCACUAGAUGGAAGGGUCCUCCAUAGCCUUUCCAUCGAAGCGAAAGUAAUUAGUGCUCCGCCUGGGGAGUAUGGUCGCAAGGCUGAA